rnacentral:lncRNA from 1 species
UCCCGAAGUGCUGAGAUUACAAGAAUGAGCCACCACACCCAGCCAAGGAUUUUGACUCUUAUCCUAUGAAUAAUGAGAAGCUGCUGGAGUGUUUUAAACUAGCAAGAAAACUAACAAAGUUUGCAUGUUGGAAAAUGUGCUUGGCAAUAAGCCAUUUCCAGCUUCUGGUAAUCAUUCUAUUCUCUACUUCAAUGAGAUCAACUUCUGUGGCUCCCACAUAUGCCUGAGAACAGAUGCUGGUUACGUGAGUGUGCUCACUUUGAUUUGUGUGUGUUCCUGUACGUUAUACUUCAAUACAUUUUAUUGACAACUCCGGUUGGUGACACAGAUAUAAUUAUGCAUAAAAUAAAACAAAUAAAAUACGUACCCCACAACAAACA